GGAGAGCUGAGCACUCUGGCGAGACUGCCGCCGACAAGGCGGAGGAAGGUGGGGAGUGACGUCAAGUCAUCAUGGCCUUUACUGCCCAGGGCUACACACGUGCUACAAUGGCCGGCACAGACGGCAGCUUAGUGGCGACACUUGGCAAAUCCUCUAAAGCCGGUCCCAGUUCGGAUUGCAGUCUGCAACUCGACUGCAUGAAGCCGGAAUCGCUAGUAAUCGCAGAUCAGCCAAGCUGCGGUGAAUACGUUCCCGGGCCUU
rnacentral:rRNA from 1 species